AUGGACUUCUUUUCAGGAUUCAAACUUGGUUCUGAAAAGCACACCACAGAGGUCACCGUGAAGAAGUCUGGAAGCCUGCUUAUAAAUUCUGGGAUACAAGGAUACUCCCUGCUAAAGACAACUCAGUCUGGAUUUGAAGGAUUCGUGAGGGAUCGCUACACUCUUCUUCCUGAAACAAGAGAAAGAAUUGUAGCUACAGAAGUAACUGCUUGGUGGAGCAGAUGA
rnacentral:rRNA from 1 species